CCGCACUUUGAAAUUGCGGGUCAAAAUCUAGUAUUCUAUUAAAAGGGAAACAAUCUUGAAAAAUCUACUUAUAAAGGUUGUUGGACCUCUUCAUUAAUAAUAUGUUUUAUUUAAUGUUUGCCUUAAUCAAUCAAAAUAUAUACUCCUAUUUAUAAGGAACAUUAUAUUUGUCCAAAAAGAAACAUUACGUUAAUUAUUUUUAUUAAUCAUUAUUAACCAAUUUAAAAGAAACACUACAACCAAUCAAUAAUUAAUCUGAUACUAAAUGGCAUCUCACGAAACUAAUCGAUUUUUAUUAUAAUAUAUACACUAUAUAUGAAUUAUAUUAUUUCUUAGAGUUCAAUGAAAGAAGUACUAUCACGAUGCACAUAGUGUAUUAUAUGUUUGAGAAACAUAACUAUAUAUACUUUUUACUACAACAUAAUUAUUUAUGCUUUUACCUUGCUUUUGUUUUUUAAUAUGAUAUAUAAAUAAAACAAUUAUUAUGCUACUACGAUAUUUGCAAAGAUUAAUUAUUUAUUUGCCUAAAUAAAACAUAAUUACUUUUUUUUUAACUUUAGAACUAUUUCUUUUCAAAGAUUACUAUAGCUAGAAUAGAUAUUUGCAUAACGUGAAUAAACCAAUUCCAAUAUUUGUUUUGGACACAAAACUAAUUUCAAUAUAUUCACUAUUGUGAGUAUAUAUAAUAUUAUGAUGGGAUGAUACUUUUACUAAUUUCCUAUGUAUAAAUUAUUUAUGCUAAAAGAAUCAUGUUAUAUAGUACGAUAUGAAUAUAUUUUUAAAACAAUAAAAUAAUUAAUUUAAUUUUUAAAAAAUAGUUUUUUUACAGGUUUUAAAUUAUAUAUAUUUUUAAAAACCAUACCCGAUUACAUAUUAGAUUACUUGAUUUAUCAGUUAGACUUCUGGUAAUCAUUUUAAAUAUAUAGUAAUAGAAGAUUAAAAAAUAUUUAUUAUAAAAUAUUAUUAUUUAAUAUAAGUUUAAAAACUAUAUUAAAAACAGUAUAAAUCUAUAAUAUUAAAUUAGCUAAAAUAUGUAAAUUAAACUCAAGUCUUACCAAUUUAACAAAUGUAACUAUUAUAAAAUGCACACAAAAUAUAAUGAGAAAUAGAAUAAGCAUGGCCAUCGAAUUUUCGGUUGGUACAGAUCGGUUCAUUUCGAGUUUGAGUCCUUCAGAUCUUAGACAUUUGUACCUAAUUAGGUAUUUGAUUUUUUUUGUUUGAGUUUAAAUUGUUCCUUUUAUGUUUGUAUCCAUAAUUCAAAUACCUGUAAAAUACCUGUAUUUUUAAUAUAUAACAGGUCCGGAUCAGUUCGAAUAUUUAAUACUCAAAAAAGAUUUGAAAUACCCAAAAAUCCAAAAAAUAUGCGAAAAAACCCAAAAAGUACCUGAUACAAAAACGUACCCGAAAACUCAAACAAAUACCCAAAAAUAUGUCAUAUCAUACAACUUUGUAAUAUAAUAAUUUACAACAAUUACAAAAUACUAUUUCCUAUCAAAAUUUAUUUAUAAUCCAAAAUAAUCCGCGCUUUCAAAGCGCGGGUCAAAAUCUAGUUGGUAUAUUAUGAAUGAAUCAUUAUUUUCGUGAUUUUUUGUUGAUAUUUUAUAUUUUUACGGUUAAAUAUUUUGAGGUUAUGAUAUCCAACCUAAAUUUCAUUUGGAUUAACUAAAUUUCAUGAUCGAUUUUUGAGAUGAUUUUAACCGGAUAUGUUCUAAUUUAAAUUGACUGUGUAUUUCUUUCAUAUGUUUUUUAAAAGGUUAUCUACUUUGUUUCUGUCUUUUUAAUACCGUUCUUUAUUUUUUAUGAAAAUAGUAAAAUAGAUACAUGUAAUAAGUAGUGAAUUUGUAGAUUUACAGAAUGUAGUAUGUUUUAAGAAUUUAAUUGGCUGAUGUCUAUAAAUUUUCAUGAAAAUUAUCAAUGUUCAUAUUCAUUUUAGUUUUUGGUAAAUAGCUUUUCUAAAAGUUAGAAGCCAUGAAAAUUUUCAUUUUAGAUUUUGGUAAAUAGCUUUUCUAAAUUUUCAUAAAAAUUUUGUCAGUUGGAAUCAAUACAAUACUAAAAGUUGGUGAGUUGGAGUUUUGAGAGUGUCCACAUCAUCCAAAAAUUCUCAACCAAUCAAAUUGACAACUCAUUUAUAUGCAAGCCAUGCCAUUUAAAAAGUAUAUACAUUCUUCUGUAUUUGUGUUUAUUUGCUAUAUUAAUAUGAAAGUUCCGUAAUUGUUGAACUCAUCUUCCAUCCUAAUCGUUCUAUCUUCCCAAAAAGUCUGCCGAUCAAGAUUCUUUAGGACUUAGUGGUAUUGUCUCCUCAAGCUUUAAACCAGCUUAUCAUGGUACCAUUAAACCAUAAGAUUAUAUUUCUUCCUCCAAUCUCAACUGCAGUCUCCUGCUAUGACGCCACUUUGCAUUCUCCGAUCAGAUUAUGAAUACGACGGAUCCACUUUUAAUCGCUAACGCCACUCAAGAGUUAUAUUUUUUUGCAGAUUCAACACAAUGGCAAUAUCAAAGCUUCAUGAAAGGAAAUUAAAGGCAAAUGAUCUCAAAUACAGACAAAGGUAAGAACCAAUAACAAUCUCUUUUUGAAACACCAGAAUUCCACUAAGGAUCAACUGGACUAACUUAUGAUAACAUAAUACAAUACUAAAAGUUGGUGAGUUGGAGUUUUGAGAGUGUCCACAUCAUCCAAAAAUUCUCAACCAAUCAAAUUGACAACUCAUUUAUAUGCAAGCCAUGCCAUUUAAAAAGUAUAUACAUUCUUCUGUAUUUGUGUUUAUUUGCUACAUUAAUAUGAAAGUUCCGUAAUUGUUGAACUCAUCUUCCAUCCUAAUCGUUCUAUCUUCCCAAAAAGUCUGCCGAUCAAGAUUCUUUAGGACUUAGUGGUAUUGUCUCCUCAAGCUUUAAACCAGCUUAUCAUGGUACCAUUAAACCAUAAGAUUAUCUUUCUUCCUCCAAUCUCAACUGCAGUCUCCUGCUAUGACGCCACUUUGCAUUCUCCGAUCAGAUUAUGAAUACGACGGAUCCACUUUUAAUCGCUAACGCCACUCAAGAGUUAUAUUUUUUUGCAGAUUCAACACAAUGGCAAUAUCAAAGCUUCAUGAAAGGAAAUUAAAGGCAAAUGAUCUCAAAUACAGACAAAGUUGGUCGACAUGUUAAUCCUUGGGUUUAAGGUUUUGAUCCAGUCGUAUCAGUGUGGGAUUAGUUUUUUACACACGAAGAUACAAUAAAGCUAAUCGGGAGUCAUAUCAGUGUAGCUUCUGAUACGUAUCUCCUGCUCUUUAAUUUCUCGAUCACGUUGAAUAGGUUGAUUAGGAAAGGGAUCCCGCCGGUAUUAAGGGAAAAGGUUUGCCUUUCUCUUUCUGAUGCUGCCAAGAAAAGUCCACCGCCCUAGAUAAUUAUUACAGUGAUUUGAGCAGGCCGAGACGGAAAGGCUACAUUGACAACACAGCAGAUCGAUCGUGUGAGUCUGAUCUUUUCCGGAGUCUCAAUUUUUUUUUGUUCUUCAGGGAAAUUGAUGUAUUUUAUAUUCAGUUAAUUUUCCAGGAUAUAUUGGUAUUGUUUUAAUUGGUUAUAAGCUCUGUUUCAUAUUGUAAUUUGAUGUAGUCUCAAAAGCAUUGAAAAAAGAAGAUGCUAUCGAUGCUGUUAUGGUUGGAAAUUUAGAAUAUUGUUUCUUUUCUUUA